rnacentral:lncRNA from 1 species
UUGGAAAGGCAUAACUUGAUAAGAAAUUGUGCAAGGAAAGAUGAGUGUUUUGGGGAAAAUGAGCUUAUUUUUGCUUAAUUAGAAAACAUAUUCUCAAAGGCAAUAUCAACAAUGUUGGAUUCAAAGCACCGUUUGAAUCAUCCGGGCUGCACUUGUAUUGCGUGGUUAUUAGUUAGAUGGGUGUGAGAUGACUACAAAUGAGUGCAGAGGACGUGCUGAUCCACACGUGGGCUGUGGACACGACUCGUUAAAACACCCCAUUAAGUGCUGGAGGCUGCUUCUCGCAAACCUGCUACUAAUAACAAAUAGGCCACCUUUGCUGUGUAUCCAGCAUCUAAUGAAACUGGAUAAGGAUAUAUUAACUGGUGCAACUUAAUUUCUUUCUCUGAAAAG